GACGAACGCUGGCGGCAUGCCUAACACAUGCAAGUCUAGGGGUAGCAAUACCACUGGCGCACGGGUGAGUAACACGUAGGUUAUCUGCCCCCAUCAUAGACAUAACCCCGGGAAACCGGGGCUAAUAUCUGAUGAGGUCGCGAGAUCAAAGCUUCGGCGGAUGGGGAUGAGCCUGCGGCUGAUUAGCUAGUUGGUGAGGUAAUGGCUCACCAAGGCGACGAUCAGUAGCUGGUCUGAGAGGACGAACAGCCACACUGGAACUGAGACACGGUCCAGACUCCUACGGGAGGCAGCAGUGAGGAAUAUUGGUCAAUGGGAGCAAUCCUGAACCAGCAAUGCCGCGUGUGGGAUGACAGGGCUUCGCCUUGUAAACCACUGUCGGACGGGACGAAAAGGAGGCCUCGGGCCUCUGGGACGGUACCGUCAAAGGAAGGGUCGGCUAACUACGUGCCAGCAGCCGCGGUAAU
rnacentral:rRNA from 1 species